GGAGUCCCUCCCUCUAAAAGCACUCUGUGUGGGGAACAUGAGAGCCAGACCAAAGCUCAGAGGAACCCACCUGGACCUGAACCCAGCUCUGUGUCCUUACAGAGUGACCAGUCCAAAGAAUUCAUCAUUCAUUUUAAAGUCCAGCCUGUGUCUGCUGCAGAGAGACUGAACCAACGGAGCUCAGAGGUUCCCAGUGGUCAGUCUGCAGAGCACUA